rnacentral:lncRNA from 1 species
AUGCUUCCCCCUCCUCUGCUUCCUUUCUGCUGGAUGAGCAUGCUCCUCUGUGGUAUCUUAAUGUUUCCAUGUCACUUGGACAUGUCAGAGGCCAAAAUAAUAAAGCAAGUAACUGUGGACCAACACUCUGAAAACAUGAACCAACCAAACCUUCCCUUCCUUUGAUUCGUUUCUCUCAAGUAUUGUCACAGCAAUGGAGAGAGCUGGCUAGCACUUCUCCCAUGGACAUAUUUCCGAGCAGGGAUAAGACAAAUCUGCUGGCGUCUUGUUAAAAGAUGAUCAAGCGGCACCAGCAGCAUGAACUUAGGGUUCCUCUGAAUCCUGGGCUCUUUGUGAUGCGUACACCCCUGGCCUAUGGUACCUGCCCAUCUCCCUGCUUAGCCCAGGCACUUUGUACACAGAGUUUGGAACCUUGAGAAGAUGGCGAA